rnacentral:tRNA from 1 species
GCGACCAAUAGCUCAGCGGUCGAGCACUCGCCUCACAAGCGAGAGGACGGUGGUAUGAUCCCACUCGAGCGCA